rnacentral:lncRNA from 1 species
UCUCCAGUGAAGAUCGGCUUAACCUCUGCUUCACUCCUCUGUUUGAAUGUUGGCCACUUACACAUCUAUCAACAAACAGCUGAGCUACGUGGAACCUGUGAGGACUCACACUAGCCAACAGACUAGUCACACUGAGCCAUCAAUGAUUUGACUGUUUGGAAUGCAGGGGAGAGAGAGAGGAAGAUGAAGACUUCUGUCAGGGGACACUGGGGGGAGGAGCCCUUUGAGGUAUGGAUAGCAAUAAGGAUGGGUACCCUACCAUGUGAUGAGCUGGUCACGGCCCUUCUGGAAGGGAGAGGAACACACACGAAGAUGCGGAAGUAUUCACGAGCACAGUACAUGUGAUGGACCAUUCAAGGAUGCUGUAGCACGGCAAGAAGCUAAGGUUCUGUUGAGACCCCUUGGACCUGCCUUGUGUCUCAAGAAAAAAACUGCCAUCCAACAUUUGUGCAGUUGCUUCAGUAAUUUCCCAGUGCCUUCUUGGGAAUGGGAGGGGGAAGACUCAGCCAGAUGCAUGCUUUUAAAAAUAAAUCAUGCACGAGAAAGAAGAGAAAGAUGAGGGAGUUCUCAGUUCAACACGAGAGGAAACACCCUGUCUUCAGGGAUACAACCAAUCAUCCUGGAUCAGAGGCCACACAGCAAGGGUUCAGAUGAGAAGCAGGCCUGCAGCUGGCAUACAAAUAAAGAGCUGGGAGGCUCUGUCUUACACAGGAGCCCGUCACAGAGGACUACAGAAUGCUGCCACAAACCAAGAAGGUAGAAGAAUAGACAGGUCAAAGGAGGAUUCCCUAUAGACAAGACCCUCUGGGCAUAGGUUUUCCCAUCUGUAGAACGUAGACUCAGCUUGAGGGAUGCAGGAGUACUCAUUGGGGGGGGGGGAAUCACAUCUGUGGUGUAAAGUGAAGCUUCUGUAGGGACGUGUACU